rnacentral:rRNA from 1 species
AUUGAACGCUGGCGGCAGGCUUAACACAUGCAAGUCGAGCGGAGAGAGGUAGCUUGCUACCGAUCUUAGCGGCGGACGGGUGAGUAAUGCUUAGGAAUCUGCCUAUUAGUGGGGGACAACAUUUCGAAAGGAAUGCUAAUACCGCAUACGUCCUACGGGAGAAAGCAGGGGAUCUUCGGACCUUGCGCUAAUAGAUGAGCCUAAGUCGGAUUAGCUAGUUGGUGGGGUAAAGGCCUACCAAGGCGACGAUCUGUAGCGGGUCUGAGAGGAUGAUCCGCCACACUGGGACUGAGACACGGCCCAGACUCCUACGGGAGGCAGCAGUGGGGAAUAUUGGACAAUGGGCGGAAGCCUGAUCCAGCCAUGCCGCGUGUGUGAAGAAGGCCUUAUGGUUGUAAAGCACUUUAAGCGAGGAGGAGGCUACUUUAGUUAAUACCUAGAGAUAGUGGACGUUACUCGCAGAAUAAGCACCGGCUAACUCUGU